rnacentral:rRNA from 1 species
GGGUCAGUAGGUUGGUCGUGCCACCGGUACGUACUGGUCUCACUGAUUCCUCCUUCCUGAAGAACCGUAAUGCCAUUAAUUUGGUGUUGCGGGGAGACAGGACUGUUACUUUGAAAAAAUUAGAGUGUUUAAAGCAAGCUAACGCUUGAAUACAUUAGCAUGGAAUAAUGAAAUAGGGCGAUCGAUCCUAUUUUGUUGGUUUCUAGGAUUGACGUA